CCCUUAGACGUUCUGGGCCGCACGCGCGCUACACUGAUGUAUUCAACGAGUUCACCUCGGCCGAGAGGCUUGGGUAAUCUUUUGAAGGUGCAUCGUGAUAUAGGGAUAGAUUAUUGCAAUUAUUAAUCUUGAACGAGGAAUUCCUAGUAAACGCAGAUCAUCAAUCUGCAUUGAUUACGUCCCUGCCCUUUGUACACACCGCCCGUCGCACCUACCGAUUGGAUGGCCCGGUGAAGCCUCGGGAUUGUGACUGGUGCCUUUGUUGGUGUUGGUUGCGAAAACUUGUCUAAACCUCAUCAUCUAGAGGAAGGUGAAGUCGUAACA
rnacentral:rRNA from 1 species